AUGGUUUCGCCGGCGGCCAGCGGCGGCGGCAAUGCGGGCCUCGCUGACCCGCUGCUUGCGACGAACGACAACAGCGAGGGGGCCAGGCAUGUGUUCGGCGCCAAGGCGAAGUACUGGGUGCCCGCCGACGAGAAGGAGAUCGCGGCGUCGCGGGAGUGCGGCGGCGAGGACGGCCGGCCGCUGUUGUACCGCACGUUUAAGGUCAAGGGCAUGCUUGUAAACACCUACAGGUUCUUGAACUUGGCCAGACUUACGGCGGUCAUCGUGUUUUUCGCAUGGCGUGUGCAGCACCCAGAUUCCGACGCAAUGUGGCUGUGGUGGAUCUCGGUCGUCGGAGAUUUCUGGUUCGGCCUGAGCUGGUGGCUAAACCAGGUCCCGAAGCUCAACCCCACCAUAUGCAUCCCCACAAUCCCCCUCCUGAGACAGCAGUUCGACCUGCCCGACGGCGGCUCCAACCUCCCCGUCCUGGACGUGUUCAUCAGCACCGUCGACCCCGUGGAGGAGCCCAUGCUCCACACCAUGAACUCCAUCCUCUCCAUCCUCGCCACCGACUACCCGGUCGACAAGUACGCCACCUACCUCUCGGACGACGGCGGUUCACUGCUCCACUACGACGGGCUGGUCGAGACCGCCAAGUUCGCCGCGCUGUGGGUUCCGUUCUGCCGGAAGCAUCACGUUGAACCAAGGGCGCCGGAGAGCUACUUCGGGGUGAAGAUCCGCCCGUACAUGGGGAAUUUGCCUGAAGAGUUCCUCGAUGAUCAUGGGCGUUUGCGGAGGGAGUAUGAGGAGUUCAAGACGCGCCUGGACGCACUGUUUACUCUCAUCCCGCAACGGUCAGAGGCGCACGGCCGUGAAGACGCCAAAGGAGGAGGAGGGAAGGCGACUUGGAUGGCAGACGGGACACAGUGGCCUGGCACAUGGACUGAGCCGGCUGAAGGUCACCGGAAAGGAGAUCACGCUGGAAUUAUUCAGGUUAUGUUGUCCCAGCCAAGCAGCGAGCCUCAGCUCGGCGAGCCAGCAAGCUCCGACCACAGUCCGCUGGAUUUCAGCGCCGUCGACGUGCGCCUGCCGAUGCUGGUGUACGUGUCCCGGGAGAAGCGCCCGGGCUAUGACCACCAGAAGAAGGCGGGCGCGCUGAACGUGCAGCUGCGCGUCUCCGCCCUGCUCUCCAACGCGCCCUUCAUCAUCAACUUCGACUGCGACCACUACAUCAACAACUCCCAGGCCUUCCGCGCCGCCAUGUGCUUCAUGAUGGACCGGCGCGACGGCGACAACGUGGCCUUCGUCCAGUUCCCGCAGCGCUUCGACGACGUCGACCCGACGGACCGCUACGCCAACCACAACCGCAUGUUCUUCGACGCCACCAUGCUUGGCAUGAACGGCAUCCAGGGGCCCUCCUACGUCGGCACCGGCAGCAUGUUCCGCCGCGUCGCGCUCUACGGCGCCGACCCGCCUCGCUGGCGCCCGGACGACGUCAAGGUGCUGGAGAACCCCAACAAAUUCGGCAAGUCGAUGACGUUCAUCAACUCCAUACCGGUGGCCGCGAACCAGGAACGGUCCGUCAUGUCGCCGGUGUCGCUUGACGAGCCGGCAACGACGGAGCUGGCCGACGUCAUGACGUGCGCGUACGAGGACGGGACGGAGUGGGGCGAUGGCGUCGGGUGGGUGUACGACAUGGCGACGGAGGAUGCGGUUACCGGCUUCCGGCUGCAUCGGACGGGGUGGCGGUCCAUGUACUGCGACAUGGAGCCCCCCGCGUUCUGCGGCACGGCCCCGAUCAACAUGACGGAGCGCAUGUACCAGAUCCUGCGCUGGUCGGGGGGCUCCUUGGAGGUGUUCUUCUCCCGCUUCUGCCCGCUCCUCGCCGGCCGUCGGCUCCACCCCAUGCAGCGCGUCGCCUACACCAACAUGACCUUCUACCCGCUCUCGGCGCUCUUCGUCGUCUGCUACCACCUCCUGCCGCUGAUGUGGGUCUUCAACGGCCAGUUCUACAUCCAGAAGCCCUACCCGACGUACGUGAUGUACGUCCUCAUCAUCAUCGUCUCGAACGAGGUGAUCGGCAUGGUGGAGAUCGUGUGGGCGGGGCUCACGUUGCUCGACUGGUUCCGCAACGAGCAGUUCUACAUGAUCUGUGCGACAGGCGUGUACCCGACGGCGGUGCUGCACGUCGUGCUCAGGUCCCUCGGCCUGAAAGGCAUGUCCUUCAAGAUGACGGCGAAGCAGCUGGCCACCGGCGCGAGGGAGAGGUUCGCCGAGCUGUACGACGUGCAGUGGGCGCCGCUGCUGAUACCCACACUGGUGGUGAUCGCCGUGAACGUGGUUGCCAUCGGCGUGGCGGUGGGGAAGGCGAUCACCUGGGGCUGGUCGGCCGGGCAGGUCGUCGAGGCGGCGAGCGGGCUCAUGUUCAACGUGUGGAUCCUGCUCAUGUUCUACCCGUUCGCGCUCGGGGUUAUUGGGCGCUGGGGCAAGAGGCCCUUUGUCCUCUUCGCCAUGUUUGUGGCCGCGUUCGCUGCCAUUGCGGCGGUGUAUGUCGCCGUCCAGGCCGCGCUCGCUGGCAACCUGCCGUACUUCCAGCUGGGACAUCGGUCAAUCGGCGGUGCCGUUUCUCUGGCAAGCCGGCGGGUUUAA
rnacentral:rRNA from 1 species